GGGGAUGUAGCUUAGAGGUAGAGCACUUGCCUAUCAUACAUAAGGCCAUGGGUUCAAUUCCCAGCACCA
rnacentral:tRNA from 1 species